ensembl:lncRNA
GUGGUUUUUUUACAGUAAAAAUACUACUAGGAUUUUAAGUUCUUUGUGUGAUUUCAGAUCAGUAGUACUAAUGCAGUAUGUCAGUGACAAAAAACAACUAAAUUCAGUUGAGCUGAAAAGAUACCAAACAAGGCAAGGGGGAAAAAAUAAAAUGAAACAAUUUGUGGGUGAAAUACAAACGUAAACUCAAAAGGAGUCAAAAAUGUCCGGGUGUAUUUCAGACCUCAGAGAUCCAACAAAUCAUGAAAAAUUAGGUUUAAAUGUUUGUUCAUGACAGUGCAGAUUUCUGAUAUUUUGUGUAAUUUAAGCUGUAACAAUGUGAUUGUUUUCUAACAAAAAACAGUGAAACUUAAGUUAGACAUGUGUUUGUAAAUGAACCGCCCCAUGUUGUGUAGCUUUCUGGAUUUUAUACUUAUUGGGCUCCAUAUUUAUUUAUUAUACAGGCUAUACAGUACAUAACAUCAAAACUCACAUGUUUUAUGUAACUAAAGUGUGUAAUUAUGUGGGCUACAGACAAUAAUUAAGUUAUAGACUAUAUUUAUAUGAAAAACGUGUAUACUUACUGCAUUUGAAUCAUUUUAACCAUAUGUAACCACCUGCAUAUGUGUUUGGAAAAAAAAAGGCUUUGAUUUUGCCACCCCAUUUGAUUUCUUUGCCACCCUAAGAAAAUUUCUCUAGCUCCGCCCCUGAGCUGCAGAGGUUCUAGAGUAGAAUAGAAUAGCCUUGUAUUGUCCUUGUACAUGUAGAACAAAACGGUGGCAUGAGGAGUUUAGACAACACAGGAGGAAGACACUGAGCAUCACUGCUGCUGCUGUUCAGUCUCUCACAGGAACUCAACACCUCCACAAGUCACAGGCCCUGUAAGGGCUUUGGAGCGUGAUGUCACGGGGGUGGGCGUGGAAAGGAUUUUGGCCUGAUCCGCCAUUUUCCAGGUCCAAACAAAGCGCAAGCGAAAAAGGAGCGAAGGCACACACAACAGCCAUGCAACAUGAGGCAGCUCGUGUAUCGAUGUUACCAAACGAAGGCGUCUAGCCUGGAUAGCAGCUGUGAGACGAGCUGAUAUCCAGCUCUCUUCCAUCUCCAAAUAUCUGUUGGUGCUCCAGACAUUUUCAUUCCACAAACCAGCCUAUGAAAUGGAUGAAACACAUCGUGACUGGGUUCCAGCGCUACACAAGGGACCUGCUUCAAACAUACCACCAUGCCAAUCAGAUUACUUCUUCCAUGUGAGGGUGAAGAGGUGACCCUUCUGGAUAAGAUGGUGAAGGUUUGCUGCGUUUGUUGAACAGUGUGGUAGUAAAACCAGGGAAAAUGAAACUUGCUCCUGUUAAAUAUUCUUAAGUCUUGUGCUGUUUAAAUAGCGGUAAUUUUUCAAAAGAUACAGUAAAUAAUGUUAGUAGUGGGUGAUAUCAUGUAAACACUGUCAUGAUUUUGUGUAAACAUUUUGUCUUUUAUAAACUAUAAAUGACAUGGAUUCUACAUUGUAACUGAUGUGAUGUUCUA